rnacentral:rRNA from 1 species
AUUGAACGCUGGCGGCAGGCUUAACACAUGCAAGUCGAGCGGGGUGAUGGUGCUUGCACUAUCACUUAGCGGCGGACGGGUGAGUAAUGCUUAGGAAUCUGCCUAUUAGUGGGGGACAACAUCUCGAAAGGGAUGCUAAUACCGCAUACGUCCUACGGGAGAAAGCAGGGGAUCACUUGUGACCUUGCGCUAAUAGAUGAGCCUAAGUCGGAUUAGCUAGUUGGUGGGGUAAAGGCCUACCAAGGCGACGAUCUGUAGCGGGUCUGAGAGGAUGAUCCGCAACACUGGGACUGGGACACGGCCCAGAAUCCUACGGGAGGCAGCAGUGGGGAAUAUUGGACAAUGGGGGGAACCCUGAUCCAGCCAUGCCGCGUGUGUGAAGAAGGCCUUAUGGUUGUAAAGCACUUUAAGCGAGGAGGAGGCUCUUUUGGUUAAUACCCAAGAUGAGUGGACGUUACUCGCAGAAUAAGCACCGGCUAACUCUGUGCCAGCCGCCGCGGUAA